UGCUUAACACAUGCAAGUCGAACGCAACCUUCGGGUUGAGUGGCGGACGGGUGAGUAACGCGUGAGAAUCUGCCUUGGGGUCGGGGACAACCACUGGAAACGGUGGCUAAUACCGGAUAAGCCUUUGGGUAAAAAAUUUAUUGCCCCAAGAGGAGCUCGCGUCUGAUUAGCUAGUUGGUGAGGUAAAAGCUCACCAAGGCAGCGAUCAGUAGCUGGUCUGAGAGGACGAUCAGCCACACUGGGACUGAGACACGGCCCAGACUCCUACGGGAGGCAGCAGUGGGGAAUUUUCCGCAAUGGGCGAAAGCCUGACGGAGCAAGACCGCGUGAGGGAGGAAGGCUCUUGGGUUGUAAACCUCUUUUCUCAGGGAAGAAGCUCUGACGGUACCUGAGGAAUCAGCCUCGGUUAACUCCGUGCCAGCAGCCGCGGUAAUACGGAGGAGGCAAAGCGUUAUCCGGAAUUAUUGGGCGUAAAGCGUCCGCAGGUGGCGAUUCCAAGUCUGCUGUCAAAGCACGGGGGCUUAACUCCGUUAAGGCAGUGGACACUGAAUAGCUAGAGUGCCGUAGGGGUAGAGGGGAAUUCCCGG
rnacentral:rRNA from 1 species